UACAGAGGUCCCGAGCGUUGUUCGGAUUCACUGGGCGUAAAGGGUGCGUAGGUGGCAUGGUAAGUUUGAUGUGAAAUCCCCGGGCUCAACCUGGGAAUGGCAUUUGGGACUGCAAGGCUGGAGUUUGGCAGAGGAGACUGGAAUUCCCGGUGUAGCAGUGAAAUGCGUAGAUAUCGGGAGGAAUACCGAUGGCGAAGGCAGGUCCCUGGGCUAUAACUGACGCUCAUGCACGAAAGCGUGGGGAGCAAACAGG
rnacentral:rRNA from 1 species